UUUUUUGAAAAGCAUAGAUAUCAUUCAUCAAGUCUCAGAAUGUCUUACAAAUUCCAAAAGGAAGAACCAUCUGAUCCACAGGAGGAUUCAGACCGAAAUGAAAAGCAACUACAGCUUACCACUACAUAACCACAACAUUACACCAAAAGAUAAACGAACUACAUCAAUAAGAAAGAGAGACUGAGACUGUGAAAGCAGCAACACAUCGAACAUGACCGUCAGAAAUCUGAGAGAGUCCCAGACGUGGAAGCACCAUCAUUAACCAUAUCCUCCUCAACCAUCACAGGGUCAAGCAAUUCCAGGACCUGAAUCGUUGCCUUAUUGUGAGCAGAAAUAGUUUCAUCUGCCUUGUGGGGUUGUCUUGGAAACUGAGACCAUACA
rnacentral:lncRNA from 1 species